rnacentral:rRNA from 1 species
UACGUAGGGUGCGAGCGAUGUCCGGAAUUAUUGGGCGUAAAGAGCGUGUAGGCGGCCAGAUAAGUCCGCUGUGAAAUCUCGAGGCUCAACUUCGAGCUGUCGGUGGAAACUAUCUGGCUAGAGUCCGGAAGAGGAGAAUGGAAUUCCUGGUGUAGCGGUGAAAUGCGCAGAUAUCAGGAAGAACACCCGUGGCGAAGGCGGCUCUCUGGGACGGUACUGACGCUGAGACGCGAAAGCGUGGGGAGCAAACAGG